rnacentral:ncRNA from 12 species
UAUGGCAGAGGACGGAAUGGGCGGCCGUCGCCCCUCACAAGAGGUUAGGAGAUGUGGGAGAUGUCACCCCACCUGUCUAA